GGUGAACCUGCGGAGGGAUC
rnacentral:rRNA from 1 species